AUUGAACGCUGGCGGCAUGCCUUACACAUGCAAGUCGAACGGCAGCACGGGAGCAAUCCUGGUGGCGAGUGGCGAACGGGUGAGUAAUAUAUCGGAACGUGCCCAGUCGUGGGGAUAACGUAGCGAAAGCUACGCUAAUACCGCAUACGAUCUAUGGAUGAAAGCGGGGGAUCGCAAGACCUCGCGCGAUUGGAGCGGCCGAUAUCAGAUUAGGUAGUUGGUGAGGUAAAGGCUCACCAAGCCGACGAUCUGUAGCUGGUCUGAGAGGACGACCAGCCACACUGGGACUGAGACACGGCCCAGACUCCUACGGGAGGCAGCAGUGGGGGAAUUUUUGGGACAAAUGGGCGCAAGCCUGAUCCAGCAAUGCCGCGUGCAGGAUGAAGGCC
rnacentral:rRNA from 1 species